rnacentral:sRNA from 1 species
UGCAUUGAUUUGUAUGUACAACGGAUACGAACAACAGACAAAGAAAUUUUUAACAAAAAUUCAAAUAAACGUAAUCAAUUUGGUCUGUUAUCAGUGGCUGUGUGUGUGUGUGUGUGUGCGUGAGUUUGUGGUAUGGAUGGAUGGCUUGGCAUUGCAA